rnacentral:rRNA from 1 species
AUUGAACGCUGGCGGCAGGCCUAACACAUGCAAGUCGAACGCGUGGCGGACGGGUGAGUAUUGUCUGGGAAACUGCCCGAUGUAGGGGGAUAACUACUGGAAACGGUCGCUAAUACCGCAUACCAUCGGAUGUUCCCAGAUGGGAUUAGCUGGUAGGUGAGGUAAUGGCUAACCUAGGCGACGAUCCCUAGCUGGUCUGAGAGGAUGACCAGCCACACUGGAACUGAGACACGGUCCAGACUCCUACGGGAGGCAGCAGUAGGGAAUAUUGCGCAAUGGGCGCAAGCCUGAUGCAGCCAUGCCGCGUGAAUGAAGAAGGCCUUCGGGUUGUAAAGUACUUUCAUCGGGGAGGCGUUACCCGCAGAAGAAGCACCGGCUAACUACGUGCCAGCAGCCGCGGUAAUUC